UGGCUCAGAUUGAACGCUGGCGGCAGGCCUAACACAUGCAAGUCGAGCGAGAAAGGUCUUCGGACUGAGUACAGCGGCGGACGGGUGAGUAAAGCGUAGGAAUCUACCUGGUAGUGGGGGAUAACUUGGGGAAACUCAAACUAAUACCGCAUACGCCCGUACGGGGGAAAGCGGGGGACCUUCGGGCCUCGCGCUAUCAGAUGAGCCUGCGUAGGAUUAGCUAGUUGGUGAGGUAAAGGCUCACCAAGGCGACGAUCCUUAGCUGGUCUGAGAGGAUGAUCAGCCACACUGGAACUGAGACACGGUCCAGACUCCUACGGGAGGCAGCAGUAGGGAAUAUUGGGCAAUGGAGGCAACUCUGACCCAGCCAUCCCGCGUGCAGGAAUAAGGCCCUAUGGGUUGUAAACUGCUUUUAUUAGGGAAGAAAAACUUCGAUUCAUCGGAGCUUGACGGUACCUAACGAAUAAGCACCGGCUAACUCCGUG
rnacentral:rRNA from 1 species